AACGUAGGAGACAAACGUUAUCCGGAGUUACUGGGCGUAAAGGGCGUGCAGGUGGUCUGUUAAGUCUGGCGUGAAAGCUCUCGGCUAAACCGGGAGAGGUCGUUGGAUACUGGCGGACUAGAGGACGGUAGAGGCGUGUGGAAUUCCGGGUGUAGUGGUGAAAUGCGUAGAGAUCCGGAGGAACACCGAUGGCGAAGGCAGCUCGCUGGGACGGUACUGACGCUGAGACGCGAAAGCGUGGGGAGCAAACAGG
rnacentral:rRNA from 1 species